CUUUGCAACAGCUCCGUUACUCAGUCUCUGUGUGGAAGGACAACACAUGCAGGACGAGGAAAGUGGCUGAUGGGAGUGUCUGACUGUUCCUGCUUCAGGCGCACAGACAGAACCUUUCUCUGCAGAGCAGCGGACUUUCUGACCAGGAAUACCUGCCCCGGAGAGGAAUCAUUCGUCAUGACAUGUAACGUAAGCUUAGAUAAUAUCAGAUGAACAUUUGUAUCCCAGGAGGGUAACUCCUCACCCCUGGUGGCUGCUUGAGCAGAAAGCGACUGGCCUCCUCUUCACUGAUCGCCAGCAGCAACCACACUGGGUGGGUUUGAUUCAGCCUGUCCAACACGCUCAUCCUCCUUCGCAAGGAGUCGUACCCAGAGUCCCUUUCACCCCCCACCCCGCAGCAGUGGUGGGACUGCAGCUCCAUGGGCUCCUUGUCCGUAGUCGGAGAGGUCUGGACCAUCUCCUUCUUCAGCUCCCCGAUCUCCAGAGCAAACGUGUCAAUCAGCUGCAAGAAGACAGAAUGAGAGGCUUCCAGUGAAUAUCAGAAGGACAGAAUGAGAGGCUUCCAGUGAAUAUCAGAAGGACAGAAUGAGAGGCUUCCAGUGAAUAUCAGAACGAGAAGUGGAGGGGGAGCAGCAAAAAACGAAACUGACGACAUCUCUCAAACGUAGAAUGCAAAGUAAGAUAGUGAGACUUUGGGACAGACAGGCUGAAGGGUCAGAUCUGGAACAAAGGGAAGGGAAAGAGUGAGUCAUUUCUCCUGUAUGUGGACUUCAUUUCCUAUAGACAGGAAACAAAGCAUUGUAGAAAAAAAAGAAACAUCACAUUAUUCAGAGCGGGCCACCGAACUUCCAAGGUUGUUUUGUAAAGACACACACAAAGAGAUUUAAACAUCUGGAUAUAUCUGGACAGGAAGCUUGUAUGACUACAUCCUCCACACCACACUGGACUCACUUGAGAUAAAAACUAUCACCUGUCAUUGAAAUCUGUCAACAAAAACAUUAGUCAACAGAAUGUGACGGUGAACGUGUGAUGAACAAUGCUCAUCAUGCCUUCGUGCUGGAAUCUCUAAUCACUUACACCAGCCUCGGAAUGCACACAAGCACCAUCCAAACAAGUAAACAGGGAGUCUGCUGUGUUGCUAUUGGAUUGAGAGAAGUGAGCUGAAUCUAGAAAACACGUGUGUCUCACUGUGAGAAAAGACUGAAUUAAGUUUACAGAAAUCGUGUUAAUUAUUAUCUGCAUGCAAUUGUCCCGUCACUUUGCAGUAUCUUAUUCACCACUGAAAACCACUCAUCUCGAGUAAAAAACAAAGUGAGAUUCUGGUAAAUGCAAGCCUAAAUCAGCACAGACAAACCAGUUGCGCUCAAAAGGGACUUUUUAAAAAACAGCCAGAGUUUGAAAGCUGCCCAGUUAAAGCCUACAACACAACUUGUUUUCAUGUUGUCUUCUCUUUUCCUGCAUUGUCCACAUUCCCUCACUCCACAUGUUAGAGCGCUCCCAGGGAUUCAGGGCCUGCUGACACAUUACUGAGCAGAUGUUGAAAUCUGGACGCUCUGCACUGAGGAUCUGGGUCAAACAAUUCAAACAAAACAAGGCCGCCGCAGAGAACAACGUAAUGAAGACCAGAAAUUUGAGGCAAUCGAGGAAAGUAUGUUGACAUCAACUGCAGAUGGAAAAUUCCUGUCCCAUUAUCAGAGUAGUUUCUUGAUGUGGUAAACUCCAACCAUGUAGUUCAAACUCAAAUAAUUACUCAGAAAUAUUCUUAAACUGUAGGUUUUGGUUUGUAUAAACACUUUUUUAAGUCUGAACCAAUGCUUCCAUUACACAUUUCAACCAAAAGGAGGCAUCCUUUUACAAACUAUUCUCCACCAGGCAGGCUGCAGGCCAGACCACAGUAGCCACAGCCCCGCAGGAUAAGUCUAUGGACUAACUGGUGCCAGCUCUGUUAAAGCCUCACACUCUCUCAGCGUUCUGCAGUGGUGGAGGAAGUACUGAAGUUUAAUACUUAAGUAAAAGUAAAAGUACUACAUCAACAAUCCUACUUAAGUAAAAGUAAAAAGUACUUACUUUUAAAUUUACUUUAAGUAUUAAAAAGUAAAAGUACUCACGCAAUGGGUUGUCUCUCAAUGUCUAGGCUGUGCCAUUUUGAUAAAGAAUGCAGAUAUAGCUACUGGUAAUACUCGUGCCUCUACAGAUGUCACUACUAGUAAUAAUUAUAAGCAACAUCAUGUGUUUAUUGGAAAGGUUGGUGUACUUAUUGUGCUUACCCUCUGUAAUACUGUUCACACUCUAUCUUACAAUUCUGCGGAUGACAAGUUAUCUACCAGGGUCUGUCAGGUUAAAACUUAAUCAUACGACACAAAUCGACAGGUCAGCUCCAGACUGAAAACAGUGCAACUCAAACUAAGUCUGGUGACGCUCAGUCUUGUGGUAUGAGGUGACUAUUCCAGACUCCACAGCCGACCGGAGACAGCCAGCGCGCUCUCACACAGCAGAACGUGUCAUUUUCUUCUCAAGAGCUUUGAGGAGCCUAAAAUCCGAAGCUGCAAUCAGCUGAAGUGGCAGCAUAAACUGACCGACCCCUGAAUUAGUGCUGAGUGACUGCAGCUAAUCCUAGAGAGGGAAAUCAUUCGGAAAAACAAGCUUCUCUCCUCUCAGUCCUCAAAAGCAACAGAGAGGCUGUUGAAGGUACUUUAUUACUGUGUAACUGGAUUUGCACUAUAGCUCAUGGGACAUCACUGUUUACAGUGGAGCUCAUGCUGUUCUGUAAAAUAAUCAACUGUCUGAAAUAUCAUAAA